CUACGGGUGGCUGCAGUCAAGAAUCUUCCUCAAUGGCCGAAAGGCUGAAGGAGCGACGCCGCGUGUAUGAUGAAGCCCUUCGGGGUGUAAAAUACUUUUAUUAGGGACGAAACAAUGACGGUACCUAAUGAAUAAGGGGCUGCUAACCUCGUGCCAGCAGCAGCGGUAAUACGAGGGCCCCAAGCGUUAUCCGGAUUUAUUGGGCGUAAAGGGUCCGUAGGUUGUUUGUCGCAUCUUCUGUUAAAUCCCAGAGCUCAACUCUGGAACUGCGGAGAGAUGGACAGACUAGAGGCCGGGAGAGGCAAGCGGAAUUGUCGGUGUAGGGGUUAAAUCCGUUAAUAUCGACAGGAACACCAAAUGCGAAGGCAGCUUGCUGGAACGUGCCUGACACUGAGGGACGAAAGCGUGGGGAGCGAAUGGGAUUAGAUACCCCCGUAGUC
rnacentral:rRNA from 1 species